rnacentral:rRNA from 1 species
UACGUAGGGGGCAAGCGUUGUCCGGAUUUAUUGGGCGUAAAGCGCGUGUAGGCGGAUGAGCAAGUCUGCUGUGAAAGCUCCUGGCUUAACCGGGAGUGGUCGGUGGAAACUGCUCGUCUGGAGGACGGUAGAGGUAGGUAGAAUUCCCGGUGUAGUGGUGAAAUGCGUAGAGAUCGGGAGGAAUACCUGUGGCGAAGGCGGCCUACUGGGCCGGACCUGACGCUGAGACGCGAAGGCGUGGGGAGCGAACGGGG